rnacentral:rRNA from 1 species
CACGAACGCUGGCGGCGUGCUUAACACAUGCAAGUCGAACGGAAAGGCCCUGCUUUUGUGGGGUGCUCGAGUGGCGAACGGGUGAGUAACACGUGAGUAACCUGCCCUUGACUUUGGGAUAACUUCAGGAAACUGGGGCUAAUACCGGAUAGGAGCUCCUGCUGCAUGGUGGGGGUUGGAAAGUUUCGGCGGUUGGGGCUGGUCUCGCGGCUUAUCAGCUUGUUGGUGGGGUAGUGGCUUACCAAGGCUUUGACGGGUAGCCGGCCUGGGAGGGUGACCGGCCACAUGGGGACUGAGAUACGGCCCAGACUCCUACGGGAGGCAGCAGUGGGGAAUAUUGCACAAUGGGCGGAAGCCUGAUGCAGCAACGCCGCGUGCGGGAUGACGGCCUUCGGGGUGUAAACCGCUUUCGCCUGUGACGAAGCGUGAGUGACGGUAAUGGGUAAAGAAGCACCGGCUAACUACGUG